rnacentral:rRNA from 1 species
GACGAACGCUGGCGGCGUGCUUAACACAUGCCAGUCGAACGGAAAGGCCCUGCUUUUGUGGGGUGCUCGAGUGGCGAACGGGUGAGUAACACGUGAGUAACCUGCCCUUGACUUUGGGAUAACUUCAGGAAACUGGGGCUAAUACCGGAUAGGAGCUCCUGCUGCAUGGUGGGGGUUGGAAAGUUUCGGCGGUUGGGGGUGGACUCGCGGCUUAUCAGCUUGUUGGUGGGGUAGUGGCUUACCAAGGCUUUGACGGGUAGCCGGCCUGAGAGGGUGACCGGCCACAUUGGGACUGAGAUACGGCCCAGACUCCUACGGGAGGCAGCAGUGGGGAAUAUUGCACAAUGGGCGGAAGCCUGAUGCAGCAACGCCGCGUGCGGGAUGACGGCCUUCGGGUUGUAAACCGCUUUCGCCUGUGACGAAGCGUGAGUGACGGUAAUGGGUAAAGAAGCACCGGCUAACUACGUG